rnacentral:rRNA from 1 species
UACAGAGGGGGCAAGCGUUAUUCGGAAUUAUUGGGCGUAAAGGGCGCGUAGGCGGCCUGGCAAGUGGAAGGUGAAAUCCCUCGGCUUAACCGAGGAACUGCCCUCCAAACUGCUUGGCUUGAGUCCGGGAGAGGUGAGUGGAAUUCCCAGUGUAGCGGUGAAAUGCGUAGAUAUUGGGAAGAACACCAGUGGCGAAGGCGGCUCACUGGACCGGUACUGACGCUGAGGUGCGAAAGCGUGGGGAG